rnacentral:tRNA from 1 species
GGGCCCGUAGCUCAACCGGCAGAGCAGCGGACUCAUAAUCCGUUGGUUCGGGGUUCGAGUCCCUGCGGGCCCA